UUACGGCCACAUCAUGUUGAAACACAGUUUCCCUUCCGUUCACCGAAGUUAAGCAACGUUGAGCUUGGUCAGUACCUAGAUAAGUGACCAUUUAUGAAUACCACAUGCUGUAAG